rnacentral:rRNA from 1 species
GACUAACGCUGGCGGCAGGCUUAGCACAUGCAAGUCGAACGGGCACUUCGGUGCUAGUGGCAGACGGGUGAGUAACGCGUGGGAACGUGCCUUUCGGUUCGGAAUAAUCCAGGGAAACUUGGACUAAUACCGGAUACGCCCUUCGGGGGAAAGAUUUAUCGCCGAAAGAUCGGCCCGCGUCUGAUUAGCUAGUUGGUGAGGUAAAGGCUCACCAAGGCGACGAUCAGUAGCUGGUCUGAGAGGAUGAUCAGCCACAUUGGGACUGAGACACGGCCCAAACUCCUACGGGAGGCAGCAGUGGGGAAUAUUGGACAAUGGGCGCAAGCCUGAUCCAGCCAUGCCGCGUGAGUGAUGGAGGCCUUAGGGUUGUAAAGCUCUUUUGUCCGGGAAGAUAAUGACUGUACCGGAAGAAUGAGCCCCGGCUAACUUCGUGCCAGCAGCCGCGGUAAGAC